AAAAAGAUAAAAAAAAUGUUUUAUAUGCAAGACGAUGCGUGCUAUAAGUGAUACGAAACAGGAACUAUUUAUUUUAUGGAUAUGAUGAAACUAAAGCUCAAUUGUAUACACAGUACUUUACAGAUUAGUUUUCUAUUUCAACUUUUUAAUGAUUCUUUUUUCUUUUCAUCAUUGUGUUACCUCAAUCAUUUUUUGAAUACUGAUAUGUAUAAGUUCCUUAAAAUAUAUUUACUUAGUGUAUAUAUAUGACAUACGGAUUUGACUUUAAUCACUCAUUAUGAAAUUCUCUCAGAAAAGAAUUAGAAAAUUGUAAAGGACAUUUUAACGUGAUCGUUUUAUUUGAUCGGACUCUUGAAUACAUAUUUGUUUUAUGAAGAAGUGUACUUUUUGUUAUGACAUUU
rnacentral:lncRNA from 1 species